rnacentral:rRNA from 1 species
AUUGAACGCUGGCGGCAGGCUUAACACAUGCAAGUCGAGCGAGCGGCGGAGGGGUGAGUAAUGUAGGGGAAACUGCCUGAUGGAGGGGGAUAACUACUGGAAACGGUAGCAAAUACCGCAUACCAUCAGUUGUGGCCAGACGGGCUUAGAUAGUAGGUGGGGUAAUGGCUCACCUAGGCAACGAUCCCUAGCUGGUCUGAGAGGCUGACCGGCAAACCGGGAACGGAGACACGGUCAAGACGCCUACGGGAGGCAGCAGUGGGGAAGAGUGGACAAGGGGCGAAAGCCUGAUGCAGCCAAGCCGCGUGUGUGAAGAAGGCCUUCGGGUUGUAAAGCACUUUCAGCGAGGAGGCGUUACUCGAAGAGGAAGCACCGGCUAACUCCGUGCCAGCAGCCGCGGUAAUUC